ensembl:lncRNA
AAGCAUUACUUACUCUCUGUUCACCUCAGGAUCUGUAGUCAGGAGAUCUGGCAGCUUGUAUGGACAACAGUCUCUGCCGACUUUCUGGAAAGUGUUUAAUUAUUGUUUAUGUUACUUUGUUUUUUCUGGCAUGAAUAAAGAUCUCUGUUCUACCUACUCUUCUAUUUAUCCCAAGCCUCUCAGCUCUCUUCCAAUAGUGUCUGUGCAAUCAGUCAAGCGUCCCCAACUAUUAGUGAGCCAAAGGUGACAGCGGCAAGGAGCCAAAACUCCAUCAGUGACAAAUGGAGAAAAAACCUUGGGAGAAACCAGGCUCAGUCAGGGGGCAAGCUCUCCUCUGGCCAGACAAAACCAGCAUGGCAUGGUUUAAUUCCAGGCUGCAGCACAGGUGCAGAGAACUUGUCUGGUUCCUGUGGUCUUGUACUAAUGGUCGUUGAGGUGAUGAGGGAUAUAGAGGUCAUCUCUAGGUGCUGAUCCACCAUCUGGUCUGAAUAUGGAUUGGAUCUGGGUGGCUACAGCGACCAUCUGAUCUGGAUACAGACUGGAUCUGUAUAGCUAUGGUGACCUCAGAAUAAGAAUGAAAGAGACUAAUAUUACCAUAGAUGCCAUUCUUCUUACGAUGUAGCGAGUACAUCGGGUGUCAUGGGAAGUAGUCCUGGUUCUGGUUGACCUAGUUAAUGCUGCCUACCAAUCCUUUAAUGGAUUUGAAUUAUAGAAAUGUGAUAGUUUAUUAUUAGUAUGCCAGGUUAAAGAGAUGGGUCUUUAAUCUAGAUUUAAAUUGACAGAGUGUGUCUGCCUCCCGAAAAAUGCUAGGUAGAUUGUUCCAGAGUUUGGGCACUAAUUAAGAAAAGUAUCUGCUGCCACCGUCUGUACCCUGUUCUUCUGCUGUCCUUGCUGUGCCAUGCUUUGAAAGGCCCUUUUCUUUACAGGUGGAUGCAAGUCAAGUUGGGGCUGGGGCUGUCCUCCAACAGGCUGAUGAGGAAGGCAUGCUUUCCUUUAAACUUGUUUCUUUCUGUACAGCCAACAUAACUACAGACCUUUACCCUUUAUUGCAUUCAUUUAAAUUUACACCACUGAUUCCUGACUGGUUUUUUUU